rnacentral:lncRNA from 1 species
UCCUUGCUUUCUUCUGGAAACCAUCUUUCACAGGUUGAAGUCAAUGGGAUGCCAGAAACUGUUACCUAGGUGGCCUUGGAUCCUGUUUGUGACCAAGCUUGCCACAGCAGACGCAGUUAUGAGAAUUAGGGUGGGCCCUCUGGUCUCUGAAGAAACGUGAUGUUUUGGAAGUGACUCCUGCCCUGACUGCUCUGGGUAGGCCUAAUUUGCCAAAGGAUACCUCAUAGCACCUUGUCACAUGACUUGCUGCAAAACCAUCUCAGUCCCAAUGACACUGACCUGCAGUGUGGAACUGGCUUAUAUCAGCAUGUUAUUACUAAUUAUUGAGACGAGUUUGAGUUCUACAUGCUACAAAAAGAUGUCACUCCCCAAACUGACGGCUAUUUAGGCUCAUCAACUCUGCGGACAUGAAUCCCAGGACAAAUUUGUUGUUUUUUUAAAAAAUUUCUUCAGUUCAGUUGCUCAGUCAUGUCCGACUCUUUGCUACCCCAUGAACUGCAGCACGCCAGG